CAGCCGCCGCGGUAAUACGGAGGGUGCAAGCGUUAAUCGGAAUUACUGGGCGUAAAGCGUGCGUAGGCGGCUUUUUAAGUCGGAUGUGAAAUCCCUGAGCUUAACUUAGGAAUUGCAUUCGAUACUGGGAAGCUAGAGUAUGGGAGAGGAUGGUAGAAUUCCAGGUGUAGCGGUGAAAUGCGUAGAGAUCUGGAGGAAUACCGAUGGCGAAGGCAGCCAUCUGGCCUAAUACUGACGCUGAGGUACGAAAGCAUGGGGAGCAAACAGGAUUAGAUACCCGAGUAGUCCCUGUCUCUUAUAU
rnacentral:rRNA from 1 species